GUCGAGGAUCUUUAGCAAUGGGCGAAAGCCUGACUAUGCGACGCCGCGUGAGGGAUGAAGGUUUUCGGAUCGUAAACCUCUUUCGAUGGGGAAGAAUGUCCAGGCUUAACCGUCUGGAUUGACGGUACCUAGAGAAGAAGCCACGGCCAACUCCGUGCCAGCAGCCGCGGUAAUACGGGGGUGGCGAGCGUUACUCGGAUUUAUUGGGUGUAAAGGGCAGGUAGGCGUCCUGUCAAGUUUCAGGUGAAAUCCUGCGGCUCAACCGCAGAACUGCCUGAAAAACUGUCAGGAUUGAGGCCGGAAGAGGAGAGCGGAAUUCCCGGUGUAAGGGUGAAAUCUGUAGAUAUCGGGAGGAACACCAGUGGCGAAAGCGGCUCUCUGGUCCGGCUCUGACGCUGAACUGCGAAAGCUCGGGGAGCAAACAGGAUUAGAAACCCGGGUAGUCC
rnacentral:rRNA from 1 species